rnacentral:tRNA from 1 species
AUUCAUGUAGUUUAUAAAAACAUUUCAUUUUCAAUGAAAAAAUGAGUUUACACUCCUUGAAUU